CAGUGGUUCUGAGGCAGCUUCUGGAUGGAAGCGCUAGUUCAUAAAUAGCUCUUUCCCUAGGGCUCCCAGCUGGCGCUCAUGAGGGCCCUGGCAGCUGCAGCAGAGUCUGGGACUAGUCCUGCAACUACCAG